rnacentral:misc_RNA from 1 species
GGGAUGCCUAAGGCAGGGCUAGUGACUGGGGUGAAGUCGUAACAAGGUAGCCGUACCGGAAGGUGUGGCUGGAUCACCUCCUUUUAGGGAGACCUAAUCCAUUUAGGAAUGUUAAGAAAAUUACCAUAGCAACCUAAAUUGGUCUAACCUAGGUCGGUCGAGAUUGGGGAAAUCUUUCAAAGUAUUAUUUAGCUUAGUUCAAACUAAAAAAACCUAUUGGAAAACCACAGCAACUAACGAAAGUUAGACUGCUGGAAUUAGUUCCAGUCAGAACCUUGAAAACUGCAUAAGAGAAAGAGUAAAAAGCAGGCAGUCUUUAUUGGACUGCAAGUGGUCAAGAUAAUAAGAGCUAAUGGUGGAUACCUAGGCACACAGAGGA